GCUUCUUCAUCUUCUGAGCUUCAUCAUCAUUCCUUCUUCUUUCUUCCUCCCUUGGAUCUGCGAAAAACGUACGGUGAGUUUCGAGCUUCGACAAUAGUAGCUCCGGCAGCGGCGGUGACGACUUCAGGCUUCGUACUUCUCCGACUGCAUUUGCGGUGCGACCUUCAGAUCUGCGACCAUAGUACGACGAGCUUUCGACGACCAACGUACUCCAGCUAGCUAGCUUAUUCCUUCUUCUUCUUUGGAUUUACGACCAACGUACUCAUAUUCUCUUCACUCUUCGAAGAAGAAAGCCCGAAGUUGCUCGAAAGCUCGGCUAUUCCACCAGAUCUGAUCUCACAGCCGUCGUUCCACCACCGCCACCCCGCUCCAUCGAAGAAGAAGAAGAAGAAACUCCGGAGUAGCGCAAAAGCUCAGCCAUUCCACCAGAUCUGAUCUCACGUCGUUGUUCCGCCACUGCCACACGGUCGCCGCUCCAUCGAAGAAGAAAGCUCGGCCGCCAGAUCUGAGCUCUCAAGAGGAUGGGCUCGAGUGGCUCCCUCUUCUAGCUGCGGUUUCCGUGUAUAAUUCUCCCAGAAGGAUGAACUCGAAGAAAUCUUCAAUCUGCACAGUGGGGCAGCACUCCAUUCCUUAACUUUCCUCUUCCGCACUUCUAUUCGGUCAAAUGGGAGGAUGUAGAAAUAAAAAAUCCCAGUGAGAAGUGCCCAAAAAUUUCUCUCUUGCUCAACAAAAAAUUGCACAAAAGUUCUACUCUUUCCAGUUUAGUUCAGGUUGUUUUCCUGAAAUCUUGAAGACACGGGGGAUUUAAUAUAUUGACAGAGGAAGGAGAAGCAAUUUCUGUCGCCAGUGG